AUUGACUUUAAUGGGAGAAAGUUACGCCCAUAGUCACAAAGAGCACAAGUAAGGGACUGGAAACAAAAAGGUGAACUGUAAUUUCUGAUGGUUUCUUAGCAUUUGGCAUCCAGAUGCUCCAGUGCACAGAGAUGAAGACAGAGAAGAAGCCAGCAUAAAUCAUUUCAUUCGGCAAUGGCACCAACCACGAAGGAGAGCAGGGGAAACCAGAAAGGAAC